AUGCACAUAUCCAAUUGCAUGCAUAUAUCCAAUUGCACUCAAAUUUCUUAUCAGUGCACAUAUCGUGGUACUUGUAAAUUAAUCCAAGUUAACUCAAUCAAUGCAUAUUGCACUCAUAGCACUUCUCACUAUUUAUAUCAAGAUAAAUAUUAUUUUGAAAAAUUAGUACUUUCACAAUGCUUUAUAUUCAAUUAUGCAGAAUAUGCUCGGUUGUAUAUGUCUCUUAUGAUUAAUACAAAUUUUAUUUCAUUUAUGUUUUUUUUGGUGUGUUAUAUAUAA